GAUGAACGCUGGCGGUAUGCUUAACACAUGCAAGUCGAACGGUCACUUCGGUGAUAGUGGCGGACGGGUGAGUAACGCGUGAGAAUCUGUCUUCAGGUCGGGGACAACAGUUAGAAAUGACUGCUAAUACCGGAUGUGCCUUUGGGUGAAAGAUUUAUUGCCUGAAAAAGAGCUCGCGUAAGAUUAGCUAGUAGGUGGUGUAAGAGACUACCUAGGCUCCGAUCUGUAGCUGGUCUGAGAGGACGAUCAGCCACACUGGAACUGAGACACGGUCCAGACUCCUACGGGAGGCAGCAGUGGGGAAUUUUCCGCAAUGGGCGAAAGCCUGACGGAGCAAUACCGCGUGAGGGACGAAGGCUUUUGGGUCGUAAACCUCUUUUCUCAAGGAAGAUGAUGACGGUACUUGAGGAAUAAGCAUCGGCUAACUCUGUG
rnacentral:rRNA from 1 species